AGCCAACCUCUCUGUGCCUGUGGCUGAGCUGUGGAACUCCUUUCUGUGCCCCGUGGCUGAGCUGUGGAACUCUUCUCUGUGCCGCAUGGCUGUGCUG